CUCUUUAGCUUGGCAUUUGAAUCGGCUUUGCUGUUGCGAAGUAGAGUGGCGGCUUCGGCUGCCGAGGGUCGAUCCAUUUGGGAAAUGUUGUGUACUUCGGUAUGCAUCUCAAUUGGACCUGAUAUCAGGCAAGAUUACCCGCUGAAACUUAAGCAUAUUAAUAAGCGGAGGAAAAGAAAACUAAACAAGGAUUCCCCCUAGUAACGGCGAGUGAAGCGGGAAGAGCUCAAGCUUAAAAUCUCCGUGCAAGUUUUGCGCGGCGAAUUGUAGUCUAUAGAGGCGUGAUCAGUGUGGGCGCUUGGGGCAAGUUCCUUGGAAGAGGACAGCAUGGAGGGUGAUACUCCCGUUCAUCCCUGAGUUGCUCGUGCGUACGAUCCGUUUUCUUUGAGUCGCGUUGUUUGGGAAUGCAGCGCAAAGUAGGUGGUAAAUUCCAUCUAAAGCUAAAUAUUGGUGCGAGACCGAUAGCGAACAAGUACCGUGAGGGAAAGAUGAAAAGAACUUUGAAAAGAGAGUUAAAGAGUACCUGAAACUGCUGAAAGGGAACCGAAUCGUUUCCAGUGUCUAUAAUCCGUGGUAUAUUUCAUUGGCGAGUGUGUGCGUGCGUGUGCUGUGGCAGCGGCUUUUUUGGCUGCGCUCGGCGUGUGUGCUGUGUGUGCUUGCUGGUGCCCUGUGCUGCGGUGGGACGUCAAGGUCAGUUCGUAUGCUGCGGGAAAUGGCCGCCGAGGAGGUAGGGCUUACGCUUGCGUUUGUCUGUUAUAUCUUGGUGGACGAGUAGUCGCGGUUGGGACUGAGGUGCCUACAACGUGUUUUUGAGUGGGCCUGUGUCUCUGUGUGCGCCGUG